rnacentral:rRNA from 1 species
GGGCCCGCACAAGCAGUGGAGUAUGUGGUUUAAUUCGAAGCAACGCGAAGAACCUUACCAGGUCUUGACAUCCAACGAAUCCUGUGGAGACACGGGAGUGCCCUUCGGGGAACGUUGAGACAGGUGGUGCAUGGUUGUCGUCAGCUCGUGUCGUGAGAUGUUGGGUUAAGUCCCGCAACGAGCGCAACCCUUGUCAAUAGUUGCUACGCAAGAGCACUCUAUUGAGACCGCCGUUGACAAAACGGAGGAAGGUGGGGAUGACGUCAAAUCAUCAUGCCCCUUAUGACCUGGGCUACACACGUACUACAAUGGCCAAGAACAACGGGAAGCCAAACCGCGAGGUUGAGCGAAUCCCGAAAAAUGGUCUCAGUUCAGAUUACAGGCUGCAACCCGCCUGUAUGAAGAUGGAAUUGCUAGUAAUCGCGGAUCAGCAUGCCGCGGUGAAUACGUUCCCGGGCCUUGUACACACCGCCCGUCACACCAUGAGAGCCGGAGACACCCGUAACG